AAGGAUCCGUAGAACGAUAUAAAUAAAUAUAAUAGAGUUAAAUAAGAAAAAGAAUGAAUAAUUAUUAUGAGAGAUGAAAUGUAAUGAUAAUAAUUAGACGGCCAAGAGUGAAAAUAGAAUUUGAUAUUUAACUGACGUUGAGGGAUGAAGGCAUGAGUAGUAAACCGGAUUAGAUACCCGAGUAAUUCAUGCAGUAAACGAUGAAUACUAAGAAAGAAAGCGAAGGCAAAGUAUUCCGCCAGGUAAGUAUAUUCGCAAGAAUGAAAUCCAAGACAAUAGACGGUUACAGGUGUAGGCAGUGGAGCAUGUUAUUUAAUUCGAUAAUCCCCGAGAAAUCUUACCAUUAUUUGAAUAAUAAAAAGAAGAAAUUGUUUUUAUAACAAAUGUUACAUCGUUGUUUAAAGUCUGUGCUUUAAGGUUAUGAUUAACUUCAUAAACAGACAAAAUUCCAUAUAUAUAAAUGAGAAUAUAUAUAUAUAUUUUUUUAUUUAAGAUAAAAGAUAUUAUAAUGGAACUACAACAAAUCAUGAUGACUUUAAUAUAAUGGGCUAAAGACGCAAUACAAAAUAUUUAAUAAAAUUAAAUUAAAUAAUAAUAAAUUAAAUUAAUAAUAAAAUAAAUAUACCAAAUAUAUCUAUAUAGAUAUAUAUAAUGUGAAUUAAUAUCUGAAAUUCGAUAUUAUGAAAAAGGAAUUGCUAGUAAUCAUAAUUCAUUAAGUUAUGGUGAAAUUCAUCCCUGUUUCGUACUAAUUACUCAUCAUUCGCUGGAAAGGGCUAUAAUUAAAAAAUAUUAUAUAUUUAUAUUUAUAUUUCAUAAAUAUUAUAAUAUAUUUAUAUUAUAUUCUCAAUUAUUAACUAACCAGUGAGAAGUUGAAAUACAGUUACUGUAG
rnacentral:rRNA from 1 species